rnacentral:lncRNA from 1 species
UUUGACUAUAAAAGAAAAAAUUCAGAGGGGGUAAAGAAAUAUUGGCCAAACUUGCCUAUAAAUACCCCACCUCAAGUAUAAUCUAAUACUUUACCAAAUAGUGUAAACAAAAAGCUAGAGAAAGGUGAGAGAGAGGGAGGGAGUACACGGCUGCAGGUAGAGGAAGAGAAGAAGAGGAAUCCAAGUCAAGCUAGCAAGAAAUUUCACAAGCAAGGAGAAUAAUAAGCCAAACUAAAGAGGUAUAACCCUAAAUCCCUCCUUUAUUUAAAUUUUCAUGUAAGACAACUAGAUAUAUGUUAGUAAACAUGUAUCACACUUAUAUACAUCUAUAUAUGUUGGAUCAUGGUGAUAAAUAACUUAGAUGAUGGAAAAAUGGUCAAGGAAAGCAAGAAAACCUAGAAAGGAACUAAACUAGUUUUGGUCAAAAGGGAAAAAUCUGACCUAAAAAUGUAACGAGCUUAACUUUUUGUAUAUUUCUAAUAUUUGGGUGAUUCCAAUUUUUUGUGAUAGAUAUGGAAGUUAUCUAAAUUUUUGCCUUGAUUUGAGGCCUAAAUUCCAUGCAUAUUAUUUUUGAUGGAAUUUCUACUGAAACAGUGCAAGCUAUUGAACAAAUUGAACUUUUUUUUAUGUGAACUUUUUUGGAUGCUUAACUUACCUGAAAAAUUACAGGCCUCUGGCAUAUGAAAGCUAUAGGCAUAGGGAAGGUCCUGUCCAAAAAUAAACAAAAUUGGAAUUAAAACAAAGAAGUUAUGGCCAAAACAAAAAAAAAUUGCACGGAAACUCGACAAGUUAAGUUCGUUAAUUCCAAUUGGGUUGAAAUUUUGGGAGUAAGCUCACAUAGAUACAUGGUAGGUUCUGUCCAAAAUUCUUAAUUUUUGGUCGUAAGCUUGAAUACUUUUAAUUGCUAAGUUUACGAAAGAAAUUAACCCAAAAUAAAUACUAAAAAUAAUUUGAAAAAUUUGGAGAAAUCGAAAAGGAUCUAAAAUGAAGUUAUCUAAGCAAAGACGGAAAGGGAAAAAAUAAUAAAUUGGUUAAGAUUGAUUUAUUGAAGAAGAUGGAAAACAAGAAAAAAUGGAAAAAAUAAUUUGAAUUGCCAGUAAAGCGUAAAACGUAAUGUAUAGGUAAAAACAUGUUAAAUAAUACAUAUAAAUAUAAGUAAGUGGAAAAAUAGUAAAUUUAAUACUUAAAACUAUAAAAUAAAUUUAGUUAAUACUUUGAAACAAGUUACGAUACCCGAAAUUAUCAUAACGAAAGUCUGUAUAGUUACCGACGGGAACUAUUGAAGGAAUUACUUAAGAAAGUUAUUAUAAAUGAUGUAGGGAAUCAUUUGUUAGUAAAACCUUAAAGGAAAUUAUAUAUAUAUUUAUAUGAACUUAUCUUGUAGAAAGUAAUAUGUCAAGGCUUAUACUUGGUACUAUGUCCUUAAGACAAUUAUGCCCUCCGUAUGGUGCUCAGAGUUGAUAGCACUUGUCUCCCAGGAUACAAUGACUUCGUAUACCUUAGCAGCACUACAAAAGGUAUACACAACGAACCAAAAGAAAUGCUCUAACUCUCUCUCAAAAAUACUAAGGAAACUGAUGAAAAAACUAUAUGCUACAAUGCUUUAGAAGACUAGAAUGCUUGAGAAAAUUGGAUGGAAAUAAAGGCUGCCGCUCCUAUCUAUUUAUAGGAGGGUUGGUGACCCUUUGGAUGGGUACAUCACCCAUGAAAAGGCAUGGGGUGCCUCUUGAAGAGGUAUUAUUUGUAUCUGUUGGUUAAAACGGCGUAGUUUUGACCAUAUACAGAAUAGGCACAUCUAUUCGGUUUAUUAAAACGACGUAGUUUAAGUGUUAGCAGAACCAAAACUACUUAGGUUUAGGCUUAGAAGAAAAGUCGCGACAAAAACAAUGCAGUUUAGGGCCGCCCGUUCAACCUUACAAAUACCGCUUCCUCAAAACGACACAGUUUUGAUAAUACCAUUUCUUAAAACAACACAGUUUUGAUAAUAUAAUAAAUACAGCUUUUAAAACGACACAGUUUUGAUAAUAGAAUUAAAUAAAUAAAAUUUAAAUAAAUUUUGUCUAAAAAAUUAUAUACAGGAUCCAGACCCAGACCCAGACCCACGACCCACGUGCCAAAGACAGGCCCGUGCGUGGGUUCGAACCUAGCCUUGGCUAGGUCCUCUCCCUUCCAUAAAAGUGGGGUGCCCCUUGGGUCCCAAACCCAAGAGCACUUUCCUUGUAUAUAAACAUAUAAAAUAUUUAAUUCCGAACCUAUGCGGGACUUGGUUUUUCCCACAUGUAUUUAUUAUCUUUUAUCAUGAUCUUUGGGAGUUAAUAUCUCAUUCAUUACUCCAUGGAUUUGAGCUUCCAAAUACUUAAUUUAAUCUACUCAUGGAGUAGAACACAUUAAUAUAUGAAAUCAUUAAAAUUAAUUAAUGACACCUAUUUAAUUUAGGCUUAAAUUCCAACAAUCCCCCACAUGAAUGAUAUUGACUUCCAGUCUUAUGCAAAUGUUAUGCAGACUCUGAGAGGGAGACAGAGAUAGAAUUAGAAAUCAUUUGUAUCGAGAGAGGUAGCUUUUGGCUUUGAACCUUCCCUUGUGAAAAACUAUCGGGUUUACUGGUUGUCCAGUGAACGUGAUGUCUUGAAUUGUCCAAUCGUUUGUGUAAAUCGAGACAAUAGUAAUUCACACAGAAUCUUUCUAGACAUUAUUUGGUUCUUUUGAUUUUGUUCAUUUUGGCCCCGAACAAUCCCGGAUUUAUGAGUCAUUUAGAGAUAUAUAGCCUUAUCCUUCUAAUAGAAUUGGCCCAGUUCACACUCAUAUAGGUGAUUCUUAAUAAGAGUAUCUUUCCAUACUCCACAUGUUUAUCAAGAUUUAAGAAUCAUUAAAAGCAAAUCUUAUCCUGUAACCGUUACAGGUAUCACUAUCUCGUAUCAUAGGAAUGAGCAGAAGAAAUUAAUUUCUUCAUAGUGAUUUGGUUGAAUCAUUCACAAUUUAGUUGUCCCUUUGAACCUAGAUCUUGGGAUCUCUAGUCAACUAGGUUGGGUUUCCAUCAUGAUGAUCCUUGUUUAUAGGCUUUAAACCCAUUCCCCUCGAAGUUAUUUUUACUUGCUCUCUAGUCAAACCUUUAGUCAACGGAUCCGCUAUAUUUUCUUUCGACUUUAUGUAUUCAAUAGACAUAAUGCCGUUAGAGAGCAAUUGUUUAUGGUAUUGUGUCUACGACGAAUAUGUCUAGACUUACCAUUAUACAUGUGACUCUAUGCCCUUCCAAUUGCUGAUUGACUAUCACAAUGAAUACAAAUAGGCGACAUAGGUUUAGGCCACAUAGGAUAAUCUUCUAAAAAGUUACGAAGCCAUUCAGCUUCUUCUCCAGCCUUAUCCAAUGAAAUAAACUCAGAUUCCAUCGUUGAUCGAGCAACGCAUGUCUGUUUAGAAGAUUUCUAAGAUACUGCUCCUCCACCUAGUGUAAACACAAAACCACUUGUGGAUUUAGAGUCUUUUGUAUCCGAUAUCCAACUCGCAUCACAGCAUCCUUCAAGUACUGCUGGAUAUCUUGAGUAGUGCAAUCAAAAAUUUUGAGUGUAUUUUAAAUACCUCAAUACUCUUAUAAUCGCUUUCCAGUGAUCUUAUCCUGGAUUGCUUGUAAAUCUACUCAAUUUAUUGACAGCUUGUGUUAUGUCAGGACGUGUACAAUUCAUUAAGUACAUAAGGCUUCCAAUUAUUUGUGCAUACUAAGGUUAUGAUAUGCUCUCUCCUUUAUUUUUAGACAAGUGUAGAUUUAUAUCUACCGGUGUUCCCACAGUAUUACAAUCAUAUUGAUUGAAUUUCCUAAGUAUUUUCUCAAUAUAUUGUGAUUGUGAUAACACUAAUCCAUUCGAUGUUUUAGAAAUCUUAAUUCCUAAUAUUACAUCGGCAACACCCAUGUUUUUCAUGUCAAACAUAUUAUUUAACAUUCUUUUAGUAGUUUUAAUGAUAUCAUUAUUACUACCCAUAAUGAGCAUAUCAUCUACAUAAAGACAAAUAAUAACAUACCCAUUCUUAGUGUCCUUGACAUAUACACAUUUGUCACACUCAUUUAUUUUGAAACCAUUUGAUAACAUUGCAUUAUCAAAUUUUUCAUGCAAUUGUUUAGGUGCUUGUUUCAAUCCAUAAAGAGAUUUUACAAGCCGAUAAACUUUCUUUUCUUGUCCUGGAACAAUAAAUCCUUCUGGUUGUUCCAUGUAUAUUUCUUCUUCUAAAUCUCCAUUUAAGAAAGCUGUUUUACAUCCAUUUGAUGUAUUUCUAAAUUAUAUAUAGCUGCAAUUGCUAUUAACAUCCUAAUUGAGGAUAUUCUUGUCAUAGGAGAAUAAGUAUCAAAAUAAUCCAAACCUUCCUUUUGCCUGUAUCCUUUGAUUACAAGUCUUGCUUUAUAUUUGUCUAUAGAUCCAUCUGCUUUCAUUGUCUUCUUGAAUAUCCACUUAUAUCCUAGAGGUUUAGAGCCUGGUGGGAGAUCUACUAAUUCCCAUGUAUGAUUAUGCAAAAUGGAUUCCACUCCACUAUUUAUAGCCUCUUUCCAAUAUGGAGCUUGAGGACUCGAUAUUGCUUCUUUAUAGGUUUGAGGCUCAUUUUCUAACAAAUAGGUUAGAAAAUCUGGACCAAAAGAUUUUGAUGUUCUAGAACGUUUACUAUGUCUAGGUUCAUCAAUAUCUUCUAAACCAUGAUUACUAUCAUUAACAGCAUCAUAAGUUCUUUUAUUUGAACUUGUUUCUUGUUCAUUAGAACUUGGCUCUUGUUCCUUUUUAUUAGGAAAUACUGUUUCAAAGAAUUCAGCAUCUUUUGACUCAAUAAUCAUAUUUUCAUGUAUUUCCUCUAUUUUUGAUUUAUUAACCAAAAAGCUAUAUGCACUGCUAUUAUUAGCGUAACCAAUGAAUAUACAAUCUAUUAUUUUUGGUCUUAUUUUCACCUUUUUGGGUGGAGGAACCAUUACUUUUUCUAAACACCCCCACACUUUUAAGAGUUUUGUAAGACGGCUUACGUCCUUUCCAUAAUUCAUAGGGUGUAACAUUAGACUUCUUUUGAGGUAUUCAGUUGAGAAUAUAAUUUGCUGAAAGAAUUGCUUCCCCCCACAAAUUCUGAGGUAGCCCAUGAACUUAAUAGCAAUGCAUUCAUCAUUUCUUUUAAAGUUAUAUUCUUUCUUUCUGCAACACCAUUUUGUUGUGGUGAAUAAGGUGCAGUUGUUUGGUGUAUUAUACCAUGUUGUGAACAAAUUUCAACAAAUGGAAAUUCAUAUUCCCCACCUCUAUCACUUCUAACUAUCUUGAUCUUUUUAUCAAGUUGAUUUUCAACCUCAUUUUUAUAAUGUUUAAACAUUUCCAAAGCCUCAUCUUUACUUCUCAAUAAGUAAACAUAACAAUAUCUUGUACAAUCAUCUAUAAAAGUGAUAAAGUAUUUCUUACCUCCUAUUGUUUGUAUAUACUUUAAAUCACAAAUAUCAGUAUGUAUUAAUUCAAGAGGUUCUGUACUUCUUUCAAUUGAUUUAAAAGAAGAUUUCCUAAGUUUUUCCUCAAUGCAAAUUUCACAUUUAUGAUUAGAGUUAAUCUCACAUUUUGGCAAACAUUCCAUAUUAAUUAAUCUACGUAUAGUAUUAUAAUUAACAUGUCCUAAUCUACCAUGCCAUAAAUUAGAUGACUCAAUCAUAUAAGCAGAAGAUGUAAUUUUAUUAAUAUUGGAAGGUACAACAGUCAUUACAUUCAUUUUGAAGAGCCCAUUGCUCAUAUAACCCUUCCCCACAUACAUCCCAUUUUUAGUUAAUACAAAUUUGUCUGAUACAAAGACUAGUUUAAAUCCCUUUUGACUAAGAAGGGAUCCUGACACUAAAUUUUUCCUAAUAUCAGGCACAUGGAGCACGUUGUUGAGGGUGAGUUCCUUGCCAGAUGUCAUCUUCAGAAUCACCUUUCCUUGUCCAGCUAUCUUUGAUGAAGAAGAAUUUCCC